rnacentral:rRNA from 1 species
AGUGAACGCUGGCGGCAGGCCUAACACAUGCAAGUCGAACGGCAGCAUAGUGAUUGCUUGCGCAUACGGGUGGCGAGUGGUGGAAGGUGGCGGGAAAUAUGGGAUUCUACUGUUGAGUGGGGGCUAAAACAGGGGAACUUACGCUAAUCGUGCAUACGACCUACGUGGGAGAGCAGGGGAUCUUUGGACCUUGUGCGAGGGUAUGAGCCGAUGUCGGCUGAGCUAGUUGGCGGGGUAAAGGCGCACAGAGGCGACGAUCCGUAACGGGUCUGAGAGGUUGAACAGCCACACUGGAACUGAGACACGGUCCAGACUCCGACGGGAGGCAGCAGUGGGGAAUAUUGGACAAUGGGCGAAAGCCUGAUCCAGCCAUACCGCGUGUGUGAAGAAGGUCUUCGGAUUGUAAAGCCCUUUAGGUUGGAAGGAAGUGCAGCAAGUUAAUACCCUGCUGUUCUGACGGUACCCAAAGAAUAAGCACCGGCUAACUUCGUG